rnacentral:rRNA from 1 species
CCAUAGGUUAAUGAGGCGAACCGGGGGAACUGAAACAUCUAAGUACCCCGAGGAAAAGAAAUCAACCGAGAUUCCCCCAGUAGCGGCGAGCGAACGGGGAGGAGCCCAGAGCCUGAAUCAGUGUGUGUGUUAGUGGAAGCGUCUGGAAAGGCGCGCGAUACAGGGUGACAGCCCCGUACACAAAAAUGCACAUACUGUGAGCUCGAUGAGUAGGGCGGGACACGUGGUAUCCUGUCUGAAUAUGGGGGGACCAUCCUCCAAGGCUAAAUACUCCUGACUGACCGAUAGUGAACCAGUACCGUGAGGGAAAGGCGAAAAGAACCCCGGCGAGGGGAGUGAAAAAGAACCUGAAACCGUGUACGUACAAGCAGUGGGAGCCUCUUAAUGGGGUGACUGCGUACCUUUUGUAUAAUGGGUCAGCGACUUAUAUUCUGUAGCAAGGUUAACCGAAUAGGGGAGCCGAAGGGAAACCGAGUCUUAACUGGGCGUUAAGUUGCAGGGUAUAGACCCGAAACCCGGUGAUCUAGCCAUGGGCAGGUUGAAGGUUGGGUAACACUAACUGGAGGACCGAACCGACUAAUGUUGAAAAAUUAGCGGAUGACUUGUGGCUGGGGGUGAAAGGCCAAUCAAACCGGGAGAUAGCUGGUUCUCCCCGAAAGCUAUUUAGGUAGCGCCUCGUGAAUUCAUCUCCGGGGGUAGAGCACUGUUUCGGCAAGGGGGUCAUCCCGACUUACCAACCCGAUGCAAACUGCGAAUACCGGAGAAUGUUAUCACGGGAGACACACGGCGGGUGCUAACGUCCGUCGUGAAGAGGGAAACAACCCAGACCGCCAGCUAAGGUCCCAAAGUCAUGGUUAAGUGGGAAACGAUGUGGGAAGGCCCAGACAGCCAGGAUGUUGGCUUAGAAGCAGCCAUCAUUUAAAGAAAGCGUAAUAGCUCACUGGUCGAGUCGGCCUGCGCGGAAGAUGUAACGGGGCUAAACCAUGCACCGAAGCUGCGGCAGCGACACUAUGUGUUGUUGGGUAGGGGAGCGUUCUGUAAGCCUGUGAAGGUGUACUGUGAGGUAUGCUGGAGGUAUCAGAAGUGCGAAUGCUGACAUAAGUAACGAUAAAGCGGGUGAAAAGCCCGCUCGCCGGAAGACCAAGGGUUCCUGUCCAACGUUAAUCGGGGCAGGGUGAGUCGACCCCUAAGGCGAGGCCGAAAGGCGUAGUCGAUGGGAAACAGGUUAAUAUUCCUGUACUUGGUGUUACUGCGAAGGGGGGACGGAGAAGGCUAUGUUGGCCGGGCGACGGUUGUCCCGGUUUAAGCGUGUAGGCUGGUUUUCCAGGCAAAUCCGGAAAAUCAAGGCUGAGGCGUGAUGACGAGGCACUACGGUGCUGAAGCGACAAAUGCCCUGCUUCCAGGAAAAGCCUCUAAGCAUCAGGUAACAUCAAAUCGUACCCCAAACCGACACAGGUGGUCAGGUAGAGAAUACCAAGGCGCUUGAGAGAACUCGGGUGAAGGAACUAGGCAAAAUGGUGCCGUAACUUCGGGAGAAGGCACGCUGAUAUGUAGGUGAAGCGACUUGCUCGUGGAGCUGAAAUCAGUCGAAGAUACCAGCUGGCUGCAACUGUUUAUUAAAAACACAGCACUGUGCAAACACGAAAGUGGACGUAUACGGUGUGACGCCUGCCCGGUGCCGGAAGGUUAAUUGAUGGGGUUAGCGGUAACGCGAAGCUCUUGAUCGAAGCCCCGGUAAACGGCGGCCGUAACUAUAACGGUCCUAAGGUAGCGAAAUUCCUUGUCGGGUAAGUUCCGACCUGCACGAAUGGCGUAAUGAUGGCCAGGCUGUCUCCACCCGAGACUCAGUGAAAUUGAACUCGCUGUGAAGAUGCAGUGUACCCGCGGCAAGACGGAAAGACCCCGUGAACCUUUACUAUAGCUUGACACUGAACAUUGAGCCUUGAUGUGUAGGAUAGGUGGGAGGCUUUGAAGUGUGGACGCCAGUCUGCAUGGAGCCGACCUUGAAAUACCACCCUUUAAUGUUUGAUGUUCUAACGUGGGCCCCUUACCGGGGUUGCGGACAGUGUCUGGUGGGUAGUUUGACUGGGGCGGUCUCCUCCUAAAGAGUAACGGAGGAGCACGAAGGUUGGCUAAUCCUGGUCGGACAUCAGGAGGUUAGUGCAAUGGCAUAAGCCAGCUUGACUGCGAGCGUGACGGCGCGAGCAGGUGCGAAAGCAGGUCAUAGUGAUCCGGUGGUUCUGAAUGGAAGGGCCAUCGCUCAACGGAUAAAAGGUACUCCGGGGAUAACAGGCUGAUACCGCCCAAGAGUUCAUAUCGACGGCGGUGUUUGGCACCUCGAUGUCGGCUCAUCACAUCCUGGGGCUGAAGUAGGUCCCAAGGGUAUGGCUGUUCGCCAUUUAAAGUGGUACGCGAGCUGGGUUUAGAACGUCGUGAGACAGUUCGGUCCCUAUCUGCCGUGGGCGCUGGAGAACUGAGGGGGGCUGCUCCUAGUACGAGAGGACCGGAGUGGACGCAUCACUGGUGUUCGGGUUGUCAUGCCAAUGGCACUGCCCGGUAGCUAAAUGCGGAAGAGAUAAGUGCUGAAAGCAUCUAAGCACGAAACUUGCCCCGAGAUGAGUUCUCCCUGACUCCUUGAGAGUCCUGAAGGAACGUUGAAGACGACGACGUUGAUAGGCCGGGUGUGUAAGCGCAGCGAUGCGUUGAGCUAACCGGUACUAAUGAACCGUGAGGCUUAACCUU